GAAGAAGAGUCAUGCUUUGAUGUCAAAGAAAAUGGAACUAGCCAGUUGAAGAGAGAACACAAUGGCCAAUAUGCUGAAGAAUUUGCAGCUGAAAGCAGAUGAAAGAAGAACUUAUCUCCAACAACAAAACAGACAAUUGUUGCUAGAAAUGGAAUCAAGGCUUCAAAGUCGUUCAAACUGACGAGAGACGCUGAAAACGUUGAUGAUGCUGAGGAAGAAGUUUUUCCAACUGAUGAAGAUUUGCAUGUUGCCAUAUGCUUGAGGCCAUACCUUGUUGAAAGAUCUAAUAAAAAGACUUAACUCUGCUGUAUCAGAAACAAAUACAAUGCAAGAAAUGUUAUCCCUGAAAGGAAUAAACCCAAAACACCAUUUCCUAUCUUUGGCAUAUCGAUGGAGGAAUUAAGCAAAACAAUUUUCAUUGCAGGUGAAAUCAACAUUUUUUUGAAAGUUUCAGAAAUUAUCAAGCAGUACAAGCUCAAGCCUUUUUUACAGUUGUAACAUAGAAAUUCCUAAAGACAUUUUCUUCAAAGAAACACGCUGAAGUGCUUUACUAUAUGAAAGUCUCCUAAAAAAGUUUUGUCCCUGAUAAAUGAACUUAAUCACUUGAACUGAAAUUAAACAUUUUAAACAAGAA